rnacentral:rRNA from 1 species
CACGUAGGGGGCAAGCGUUGUCCGGAAUCAUUGGGCGUAAAGAGCUCGUAGGCGGCUCAGUAAGUCGGGUGUGAAACCCUCAGGCUCAACCUGGGGACGCCACCCGAUACUGCUGUGGCUAGAGUCCAGUAGGGGAGUGUGGAAUUCCCGGUGUAGCGGUGAAAUGCGCAGAUAUCGGGAGGAACACCAGCGGCGAAGGCGGCUUGCUGGGCGUGAUCUGACGCUGAGGCGCGAAAGCGUGGGGAGCGAACAGG